rnacentral:rRNA from 1 species
GCAAAUUUCCAUGUACCUGUGAGAAUUCCCUUAAAGUUCAUUUAAAGUUUAAGGAGUUGGUAUCAAGCACAUUCUUUAGCUCACGACACCUAGCUCAGCCACUCCCCCACGGAUACAGCAGUGAUAAAAAUUUAGCAAUAAACGAAAGUUUGACUAAGCUACACCUUAUCAGGGUUGGUAAAUUUCGUGCCAGCCACCGCGGUCAUACGAUUAACUCAAACUAACUAAUCUUCGGCGUAAAACGUGUUAUAACAUAAUUAAAAUAGAAUUAAAACCCAACCAAUACGUUUAAGUUCAUCGUUAGGGCCUAAACCCACAAACGAAAGUAAUUCUAAUUUAUCUAAACACGAACAGCUAAGACCCAAACUGGGAUUAGAUACCCCACUAUGCUUAGCCGUAAACUUAAAUAAUUUCAAUAACAAAAUUAUUUGCCAGAGAACUACGAGCCAUUGCUUAAAACUCAAAGGACUUGGCGGCGCUUUAUAUCCGUCUAGAGGAGCCUGUUCUUUAAUCGAUAAACCCCGUUCCACCUUACCAACUCUUGCUUUUCAGCUUAUAUACCGCCAUCUUCAGUAAACCCUAAAAAGGAAAAGAAGUAAACGAGAGAACAAACAUAAAGACGUUAGGUCAAGGUGUAGCCUAUGAGUUGGAAAGCAAUGGGCUACAUUUUCUUUGAAAGAACAUUACGAUGCCUCUUAUGAAAUUUAAGAGGUCAAGGAGGAUUUAGUAGUAAAUUAAGAAUAGAGUGCUUAAUUG